rnacentral:rRNA from 1 species
AACGAACGCUGGCGGCAGGCUUAACACAUGCAAGUCGAGCGCCCCGCAAGGGGAGCGGCAGACGGGUGAGUAACGCGUGGGAACGUACCCUUUGCUACGGAAUAGCUCCGGGAAACUGGAAUUAAUACCGUAUGUGCCCUACGGGGGAAAGAUUUAUCGGCAAAGGAUCGGCCCGCGUUGGAUUAGCUAGUUGGUGGGGUAAUGGCCUACCAAGGCGACGAUCCAUAGCUGGUCUGAGAGGAUGAUCAGCCACAUUGGGACUGAGACACGGCCCAAACUCCUACGGGAGGCAGCAGUGGGGAAUAUUGGACAAUGGGCGCAAGCCUGAUCCAGCCAUGCCGCGUGAGUGAUGAAGGCCUUAGGGUUGUAAAGCUCUUUCACCGGAGAAGAUAAUGACGGUACCUGGAGAAAAAGCCCCGGCUAACUUCGUGCCAGCAGCCGCGGUAAAAC